UACGUAGGGGGCGAGCGUUGUCCGGAAUUAUUGGGCGUAAAGAGCGUGUAGGCGGUUCGGUAAGUCUGCCGUGAAAACCUGGGGCUCAACCCCGGGCGUGCGGUGGAUACUGCCGGGCUAGAGGGUGGUAGAGGCGAGUGGAAUUCCCGGUGUAGCGGUGAAAUGCGCAGAUAUCGGGAGGAACACCAGUAGCGAAGGCGGGUCUCUGGACAGUUCCUGACACUGAGGCACGAAGGCCAGGGGAGCAAACGGG
rnacentral:rRNA from 1 species